rnacentral:rRNA from 1 species
GCGUGAGUGAAGAAGGCCUUCGGGUUGUAAAGCUCUUUUACCCGGGAAGAUAAUGACGGUACCGGGAGAAUAAGCCCCGGCUAACUCCGUGCCAGCAGCCGCGGUAAUACGGAGGGGGCUAGCGUUGUUCGGAAUUACUGGGCGUAAAGCGCGCGUAGGCGGCUGUCCAAGUCAGGGGUGAAAGCCCGCGGCUCAACCGCGGAACUGCCCUUGAAACUGGACGGCUUGAACACGGGAGAGGUGAGUGGAAUUCCGAGUGUAGAGGUGAAAUUCGU